rnacentral:rRNA from 1 species
AACGAACGCUGGCGGCGUGCCUAACACAUGCAAGUCGAACGGGAAAACCCGCAAGGGUGAGUACAGUGGCGCACGGGUGCGUAACACGUGGGUAAUCUGCCCAGAAGCCCGGAAUAACUCCCCGAAAGGGGUGCUAAUGCCGGAUGAGACCACGGGGACUUCGGUUCCUGGGGGAAAAGGUGGCCUCUGUAUACAAGCUAUCACUUCUGGAUGAGCCCGCGGCCCAUCAGCUAGUUGGCGGGGUAAUGGCCCACCAAGGCUACGACGGGUAGAUGGCCUAGGAGGACGAUCGGCCAGACUGGAACAGGGAAACGGUCCAGACUCCUACGGGAAGCAGCAGUGGGGAAUCUUGCGCAAUAGGCGAAAGCCUGACGCAGCAACGCCGCGUGUGUGAUGAAGGUCUUCGGAUCGUAAAGCACUGUCGGGAGGGACGAAUAGGGGCCGGGUGAACAAUCCGGUUCGACGACGGUACCUCCAGAGGAAGCACCAGCUAACUCUGUGCCAGCCGCCGCCGUAACAC